rnacentral:rRNA from 1 species
GAUGAACGCUGGCGGUGUGCCUAAUACAUGCAAGUCGAGCGAACGGACGAGAAGCUUGCUUCUCUGAUGUUAGCGGCGGACGGGUGAGUAACACGUGGAUAACCUACCUAUAAGACUGGGAUAACUUCGGGAAACCGGAGCUAAUACCGGAUAAUAUUUUGAACCGCAUGGUUCAAAAGUGAAAGACGGUCUUGCUGUCACUUAUAGAUGGAUCCGCGCUGCAUUAGCUAGUUGGUAAGGUAACGGCUUACCAAGGCAACGAUGCAUAGCCGACCUGAGAGGGUGAUCGGCCACACUGGAACUGAGACACGGUCCAGACUCCUACGGGAGGCAGCAGUAGGGAAUCUUCCGCAAUGGGCGAAAGCCUGACGGAGCAACGCCGCGUGAGUGAUGAAGGUCUUCGGAUCGUAAAACUCUGUUAUUAGGGAAGAACAUAUGUGUAAGUAACUGUGCACAACUUGACGGUACCUAAUCAGAAAGCCACGGCUAACUACGUGCCAGCAGCCGCGGUAAUACGUAGGUGGCAAGCGUUAUCCGGAAUUAUUGGGCGUAAAGCGCGCGUAGGCGGUUUUUUAAGUCUGAUGUGAAAGCCCACGGCUCAACCGUGGAGGGUCAUUGGAAACUGGAAAACUUGAGUGCAGAAGAGGAAAGUGGAAUUCCAUGUGUAGCGGUGAAAUGCGCAGAGAUAUGGAGGAACACCAGUGGCGAAGGCGACUUUCUGGUCUGUAACUGACGCUGAUGUGCGAAAGCGUGGGGAUCAAACAGGAUUAGAUACCCUGGUAGUCCACGCCGUAAACGAUGAGUGCUAAGUGUUAGGGGGUUUCCGCCCCUUAGUGCUGCAGCUAACGCAUUAAGCACUCCGCCUGGGGAGUACGACCGCAAGGUUGAAACUCAAAGGAAUUGACGGGGACCCGCACAAGCGGUGGAGCAUGUGGUUUAAUUCGAAGCAACGCGAAGAACCUUACCAAAUCUUGACAUCCUUUGACAACUCUAGAGAUAGAGCUUUCCCCUUCGGGGGACAAAGUGACAGGUGGUGCAUGGUUGUCGUCAGCUCGUGUCGUGAGAUGUUGGGUUAAGUCCCGCAACGAGCGCAACCCUUAAGCUUAGUUGCCAUCAUUAAGUUGGGCACUCUAAGUUGACUGCCGGUGACAAACCGGAGGAAGGUGGGGAUGACGUCAAAUCAUCAUGCCCCUUAUGAUUUGGGCUACACACGUGCUACAAUGGACAAUACAAAGGGCAGCGAAACCGUGAGGUCAAGCAAAUCCCAUAAAGUUGUUCUCAGUUCGGAUUGUAGUCUGCAACUCGACUACAUGAAGCUGGAAUCGCUAGUAAUCGUAGAUCAGCAUGCUACGGUGAAUACGUUCCCGGGUCU